GGCGACCGGCGCACGGGUGAGUAACGCGUAUGCAACUUACCUAUCAGAGGGGGAUAGCCCGGCGAAAGUCGGAUUAAUACCCCAUGAAACAGGGGUCCCGCAUGGGAAUAUUUGUUAAAGAUUCAUCGCUGAUAGAUAGGCAUGCGUUCCAUUAGGCAGUUGGCGGGGUAACGGCCCACCAAACCGACGAUGGAUAGGGGUUCUGAGAGGAAGGUCCCCCACAUUGGAACUGAGACACGGUCCAA
rnacentral:rRNA from 1 species